UUUUUUUUUUUUUUUUUUUUUUUUUUUUUGACCCUCACCUGUUGA
rnacentral:ribozyme from 13 species